UACGUAGGGUGCGAGCGUUAAUCGGAAUUACUGGGCGUAAAGCGUGCGCAGGCGGCGCGUUAAGACAGGUGUGAAAGCCCCGAGCUUAACUUGGGAAUUGCGCUUGUGACUGGCGUGCUGGAGUGUGGCAGAGGGAGGUGGAAUUCCACGUGUAGCAGUGAAAUGCGUAGAGAUGUGGAGGAACACCGAUGGCGAAGGCAGUCCCCUGGGCCUGUACUGACGCUCAUGCACGAAAGCGUGGGGAGCAAACAGG
rnacentral:rRNA from 1 species